AUACUUACCGGGCAGGGUAGAUACCAUGAUCACGAAGGUGGUUUUCCCAGGGCGAGGCUUACCCAUUGCACUCCGGAUGUGCUGACCCCUGCGAUUUCCCCAAAUGUGGGAAACUCAACUGUGUAAUUUGUGGUGGCGGGGGACUGUGUUCACGCUCUCCCCUG
rnacentral:snRNA from 1 species